rnacentral:rRNA from 1 species
UACGGGGGGCUGCAGUGGGGAAUCUUGCGCAGUGGACGAAAGUCUGAUGCAGCGACGCCGCGUGGGGGAUGAAGCUUUUCGGAGUGUAAACCCCUUUCGACCCGGACGAAUGCCUCGCAAGAGGACUGACGGUACGGGUAUAAGAAGCCCCGGCUAACUACGUGCCAGCAGCCGCGGUAAGACGUAGGGGGCCAGCGUUGCUCGGAAUUACUGGGUGUAAAGGGUUCGUAGGCGGUGUGGCAAGUCGGGAGUGAAAUUUCUGGGCUUAACUCAGAACCUGCUUCCGAAACUGCUGUGCUGGAGUAUGGGAGAGGCGCGUGGAAUUGCAGGUGUAGCGGUGAAAUGCGUAGAUAUCUGCAGGAACACCCGUGGCGAAAGCGGCGCGCUGGACCACUACUGACGCUGAGGAACGAAAGCUAGGGGAGCAAACAGGAUUAGAUACCCCAGUAGUCAUCUUCUAGA